AUGACCGCUGCUAUCUUUGGUACACGCAUUGGUCACUUAGGGUCAGAUGUUCGGAAGAAGCUGAAGGCUGCCUACACUUUAAUUGAACAACUGUAUACCGGAGCGCAACGGAUCAUCACCACUGCAUCUCAUAACAAUCCGGCACCCACUUUAAUCCAAGACACUCUUAAUAGGUUGUCAAUGCUUCCUGCUCGGAUUGAAGAACUAAAAAAAUAUGCUGCUCGAACCGGAGCCAUCAACGCCUUAAUCCGAGCAAAAGCAUGGGUGCCGGAUUUCGAUCCUGUUGAAGCAGUUCAAGGCUAUCCCAGCUUGAAGGAAGAUGGCUCAGAGUUCAAUGAAGAUGAUUUGAGGGCGAUAAACCGUGCAGUACACCCUCUGGCUUGUCAAUUGGCUGAAGAGGUCGACUUGUUGCAUUAUCAAGCUCAGUACAAUGAUCAGAACAAAAGAGUGGCCGCACCAAUUCCUGAAGCGGAGAAUCUGAUUCCUCCAAUCCGUAAGCAUACUUACGCUCCUGAUAUUGAACCGUCUUCUCUGAUCCAUGAAGAGGCUGUCUUUCAAGCUUUAAUGGGAAUCGACUGGUCCACUGUUGAUUUCCAGCCAAUGGAUAGAGAUGAGGAAGCUGAAGCGGCGCGGGACGACCCACAACCGUCAGACCGGUUUGAUGAGCAGGCUUGA
rnacentral:rRNA from 1 species